rnacentral:rRNA from 1 species
AGUUUGUCCUGGCUCAGGAUGAACGCUAGCGGCAGGCUUAAUACAUGCAAGUCGAACGGGAUUGGGAGCUUGCUCCCAUGAGAGUGGCGCACGGGUGCGUAACGCGUAUGCAACCUACCUUUUUCUGGGGGAUAGCCCGAAGAAAUUCGGAUUAAUACCGCAUAAGAUCUCUCGAGGGCAUCUGAGGGAGAUGAAAGAUUUAUUGGAAAAAGAUGGGCAUGCGUGCCAUUAGCUAGUUGGUGAGGUAACGGCUCACCAAGGCUUCGAUGGCUAGGGGAUCUGAGAGGAUGACCCCCCACACUGGUACUGAGACACGGACCAGACUCCUACGGGAGGCAGCAGUAAGGAAUAUUGGUCAAUGGACGCAAGUCUGAACCAGCCAUGCCGCGUGCAGGAGGAAGGCCCUAUGGGUUGUAAACUGCUUUUAUCAGGGGAUAAACCUCGGGAUGCGUUCCGAGCUGAAGGUACCUGAUGAAUAAGGAUCGGCUAACUCCGUGCCAGCAGCCGCGGUAAUACGGAGGAUCCGAGCGUUAUCCGGAUUUAUUGGGUUUAAAGGGUGCGUAGGCGGUUUAUUAAGUCAGUGGUGAAAGGUUGAAGCUCAACUUUGACAUUGCCAUUGAUACUGAUAGGCUAGAGUACAGAUGAGGUCGGCGGAAUGUGUCAAGUAGCGGUGAAAUGCAUAGAUAUGACACAGAACACCAAUUGCGAAGGCAGCUGACUAAAGUGUAACUGACGCUGAGGCACGAAAGCGUGGGGAUCGAACAGGAUUAGAUACCCUGGUAGUCCACGCCCUAAACGAUGAUAACUCGAUGUUAGCGAUAUACCGUUAGCGUCAAAGCGAAAGCGUUAAGUUAUCCACCUGGGGAGUACGGUCGCAAGAUUGAAACUCAAAGGAAUUGACGGGGGCCCGCACAAGCGGAGGAGCAUGUGGUUUAAUUCGAUGAUACGCGAGGAACCUUACCCGGGCUUGAAAGUUAGUGAAGAUCUCAGAGAUGAGGUCGUCCGCAAGGACACGAAACUAGGUGCUGCAUGGCUGUCGUCAGCUCGUG